GAGUUUGAUUAUGGCUCAGAUUGAACGCUGGCGGCAUGCUUUACACAUGCAAGUCGGACGGCAGCACAGAGAAGCUUGCUUCUUGGGUGGCGAGUGGCGAACGGGUGAGUAAUAUAUUGGAACGUACCGAGUAAUGGGGGAUAACUUGCCGAAAGGUAAGCUAAUACCGCAUACGCUCUGAGGAGGAAAGCAGGGGACCUUCGGGCCUUGCGUUAUUCGAGCGGCCAAUAUCUGAUUAGCUAGUUGGUGGGGUAAAGGCCUACCAAGGCGACGAUCAGUAGCGGGUCUGAGAGGAUGAUCCGCCACACUGGGACUGAGACACGGCCCAGACUCCUACGGGAGGCAGCAGUGGGGAAUUUUGGACAAUGGGCGCAAGCCUGAUCCAGCCAUGCCGCGUGUCUGAAGAAGGCCUUCGGGUUGUAAAGGACUUUUGUCAGGGAAGAAAAGGUUGUGGCUAAUAUCCAUGACNGAUGACGNACCUGAAGAAUAAGCACCGG
rnacentral:rRNA from 1 species